UGAAGCAAUCUCGAUUUGAUCGAAUAAAAUUCUGGGUAAAAUUAUGAUAAUGACAUUGUUUACUUAUGAGUCUUGACCAAAUUACGUGCCAGCAGUCGCGGUAAUACGUAGAAGACUAGUGUUAUUCAUCUUUAAUAGGUUUAAAGGGUACCUAGACGGCAUAUUAAACCUUAUAUGGAACUGGUAUGCUAGAGUUACCUAUGAGGAAGUUUUAAAGUACUAGAGGUGAAGAGAUAAAAUUCAGUUAUACCUUUUUUCUAACGAAAAACAUCGGCACAGAUAUAGGUGAAAACAUCUUCUUAUGGGAUAACUGACGUUGAGGGACGAAGGCUUUUUAUAGCGAACAGGAUUAGAUACCCUGGUAGUCAGAGCAGAAAACGAUGAGUGUCAUAGAUUAGAUAAAUAUUUAUUCUAUAAAUGAAAAUGUAAACACUCCACCUCAAGAGUAAUUUGGCAACAUUGGAACUGAAAUCAUUAGACCGUGUCUGAAACCAGUAGUGAAGUAUGUUGUUUAAUUUGAUAAUCCGCAAAAAACCUUACCACAACUUGAAUAUCUAUUUACUUACUUUUAUUACACGCUUUGUGAACAAUGUUAUGUAUAACUAGGAUUGCUUUUUAUACAAUCGUGUAAAUAGAUGAAAUAAGAUAGGUACAAGUGUUGCACGGCUGUCUUAAGUUAAUGUCGUAAGACUUUGGUUAGCUCCAGUAAAUUAACGCAAACCCUUGCUCUAGUUUUAAGUAGAGUAG
rnacentral:rRNA from 1 species